AUGGCAGAUGACCUAUAAAGUCCAAAAAUAUUGAUCUGUUGGUGCGUACUUCCAGUCUGAUGUGCAAAAACCAGACAUCUAAGCUGAAAGUUGCCUUUUCAGAAGGGGAGGGGGGAUCUGGAGAUGAAACCUAAAAGCAAGGCCUCUCUCCGGCUGGAUUACACUUGGCAGGCGUGGACGACAAAGGAGCUCAGGGUGAGCGCGGAGGGAGGAGAGGAGAGCAGAGGCGUGCUGACUAGCGAGUCCGUCCGCGAAGCUCAGUCGCCAGGAACCGCGGCCCCACAGCCAUUGCCACCCCAAGAGGGUGGGCAGACAGGACCUUUGGCAAACACUGGUGCCACAGGUUUUGUUCCGCUUUGGGUUGGGUAGGGUGGGGCGUGGGACGGACCUAGAAGAACCAGCACUAGAGAGCGAAGAGGCAGAUGCAUUGAUGGACAAACCAGGAAAGACAGCAUAGUCAUACAUGCUGGAUUGUGUAAGUCUAUUUGCUUCCUUUUCAGAAAGACUAGGAUGGGGUGGGGAAGAACUAGGAAACACAGCCUUAUCUUCCACUUCCAGUUCUGGGACCAUACGACUUUCCUUCUCUCUCUUCUCUCUUCAUUCUUUCCUGUCCUCUUGGGAAAGUAGACUGCACUGAUUCCUUGGGCAACUAGGAGAAAAUACAGACAUUCACUUUUCAGGGCUGGCUUGCCCAGCUGGCGUGUGAGAGAAUUUCUCCGAAUUGGAUCUGAUCUGCAAGUGGAGCAAAGCCUCCCUUCUUACUGACCAGGGGCUCCAACUUCUUAAACUACCCACUCUCAAAAGUCCCAAGCUGCUGGCAAAUAGCAGAAAACACAAAAAAGGGCAGCAGGCCUUCCUAUUCACCAGAGAUGCUGGGGUAUUCUACAGAGAAGUUGUUCAGAGAAACUCAAAGGGUCUUGGCUCUAGGGUGAUGACAUUAUCCUGUGAGUCUCUCUGGGGUUGGUGGCACCAGGAGUUUUGGGGUGUCAGUGGAUCUGGCUUCACUGCACAUGGAACGCAUGGCUAUGUCAAAGAGGCGUGCCCAGAGAACUCCAUGGGUUUCCAUGAAGACUACUUCCCCCCUCUUCUUCCUCCUCCUUUUAACUUUCUGGUUUCUGAGGUGGUUCCCUAGCUUAUAGAAGUUAAACAUUUCGACUCUCAGAUAUGAGGCUCUCCCAUAGAAUUUUUUUUUCUCAAGGUUCUCAAGCAAAAUUGCCGGUGCCACAAUGUUAUGAUGGAAGGAUGCUGAAAUGACAGCCCUAGUAGACGCUUGUCUUAAUCAUCGGCUUCUUAAUUUAGUUUUAGAGCCGUGUGUGUGUGUGUGUGUGUGUGUGUGUGUGUGUGUGUGUGUGUACCCACUCCCCGCACAUAUGCGCGCCCUCGAGGACAUUAAGGGUGCGCGCAUGAGCCUGCAGAGAGCAGCCUCUGACAACCUGCGGCUCCCUAAUGAGUGACGAGGCAGGGCUGCUGAGGAAAAGUAACACUUCCCUGGUGUGAAGACCUCUUACUGAGAAGUUUAGUUCACUACUGUUCUCGCAAACCUAAUCGUAUAACCUGUAACCAAAACCCACAGAACAAGGCUACAACAGCUAAAGAGUAACUUCUAAUCACUAAAUGUUAGCACCAUUACCUGCUGUUAGGGAGCGAUUACAGACAAGUUGGCUCUAGGGAGGGCGGACUUCAUUUGUUACAGACUCUCUUGGAAAAUACCUGGAUGUCUCAGCAUGGUAUCUGCUGACUCCCACGUGUCAAGGGGUCACAAACGGUCCUGUGCAUUUGUAAGAAGAGAACUUUAGCUAGAGUUUGUCCCUGCUCCCAAGGGAAAGGUGGAGAUAGAUAAUAUGGCCCACCCUUGUUACUAGAAGGCAAGGAAGGUCCCAAGCAAAGAAUUGCCCCCAAGGAAGACAAUGUAACAUCCACCCUCAGAAAGGAAAUGAAAAUGAGCUACUCCCUGCUCAGAUGAAGUAUGCUGUGGAGUCUUGGAGGUUAAUUAAAAAAUCUAAAAGAAAUAAUCUAAUUCAUUUCCCAAGACACUCUUCCAUUGGAAUUGCUCACCAUACAAUUCUUGUCCUCUUUUGGGGAUGGGUGGGUGGUGAAUGAAAACUGAGGCCUACAAGUUCACCACUAUGUAAACCAACAAGUCGCACUGAUAUGCUGUUAUAUCUACUACUUCACGAACACUACACAUUUGCAGAUUCAUAAGUGUGAGGUUAAAUUGAUUAGGAGGGAAACUUGUCCUGAUUGGGGGUGGGGGGGACGACUUUGUUUCCGGUCUGAGACCACUGGCUGCCUGCCCUGUCUUCUGAAGGUAAUCACAGAGGCUGAGGAGGCCUUUAUGUGCUGAGAGAAGAGGCCCAUGGUGGACGUGGGCAGGACUUCAAAUCCAAUUUGCACCCAAAUUGGUUGGUAGGAUAUACAGAGCCCCAUCCAGAGACUUUCAGCUUCACCAUACUUUGUCCAGAAGCCCCUUCCCCCGUUACAGCUAACAGCAGAUCUAAAA